GAGGGACUGGGCUGGUCUUUGCUGGUUGGGCACUUGUACUACAUCAGAGCCCCCUCCCAGCAGAAGCAGGAGGGAGCUGAGCCAGCCCAGGUUUAGAGAGAGGCACCCAUCUCUGGUUUCCACUCAAGACCAGUUGAGGUCAUUGUGUGUUGACAUUGUAUGUUCCCCAGAACACAGACACCAGCAGCAGCAGGCCAACGCCCGGGAACAACCCACUGGCCACCAUCACCAUCGUUGCUUCAGCUGUUCUAUUCAACACCCGUGUGAUGCAGUCAUCCCAGGCCAAAUGUGUACAGCAGCAUACCCAGUCCCGUGGUAAUGAUGCAGAUGACCCCAUGAACUAGAGACACCUGCAAGUCCUGCGGCUGUACUGGACACGAGAUGUUCAUCAGACACUUCGGGCUCCCAAAUUCUUGAGUCUCACACAGGUUCUACCGGCCCUCCCAAAUGCUCAUGUCUUCAGGAAUACUCUUCACGCGCCAUAUGGGCAGACCACAGCUCACACGGCGCCUAGCCAGUCAGUCCAGCACGGCCAAAGAGAAGUUGGUCGCAUCUGGUACUGGGUGGGCCACGGCUCACUGUCUGCUGGACUCAGAACACAGGAGACAGCGGGGAUCUGACCCUCAGCUGCAGGAUUCUAAGGGCUGAAGAUGAACGUUGAUGAGACCUGAGAGCCAGCACCGGGAACAAGAUUCUCUUCAGAGUCAGACAUGCUGCCAGCAAGUAUGACAUCAGCAGCUCAGACAGGGACCUGGUGGCAUAGAUUAAGCUAACACAAGGUUUGGUAGAGAGAGGAGUUUCAUUACAAAGGCCUCCCGUGAUCACAUCUCUGUUGAAGGGAAAAGUAUCGACCCAG
rnacentral:lncRNA from 1 species